AGAAAAUAGUUUAGUUUAGAAUUCUGGCUUUGGGAGCCAGGGGUGGGAGUUAAAAUCUCCUUUUUCUGG
rnacentral:tRNA from 1 species